GAUGAACGCUAGCUACAGGCUUAACACAUGCAAGUCGAGGGGUAACGAGAGGAAAGCUUGCUUUCCUUGUCGACGACCGGCGCACGGGUGAGUAACGCGUAUCCAACCUGCCCCCAACUAAGGAAUAACCUUGCGAAAGUAAGACUAAUACCUUAUAAUUUCCUCAGAUGUCAUCUGACGAGGAAUAAAGAUUUAUCGGUUGUGGAUGGGGAUGCGUCUGAUUAGCUUGUUGGCGGGGUAACGGCCCACCAAGGCAACGAUCAGUAGGGGUUCUGGAAGGAAGGUCCCCCACAUUGGAACUGAGACACGGUCCAAACUCCUACGGGAGGCAGCAGUGAGGAAUAUUGGUCAAUGGGCGAAAGCCUGAACCAGCCUAGUAGCGUGCAGGAUGACGGCCCUAUGGGUUGUAAACUGCUUUUAUACAGGAAUAAAGUUAGCCACGUGUGGUUAUUUGUAGGUACUGUAUGAAUAAGGACCGGCUAAUUCCGUGCCAGCCGCCGCGGUAA
rnacentral:rRNA from 1 species